AGGAAAGUUGGUAAUGAGAGAUGGAGAAAGACAUGCAGCAAAGGUCACCAGGCGGGGAAUCGAACCUGCGACGGCCACGUCAAGGACUAAGACUUCCAUACAUGGGUUUGCUGAACUCCUGUGCCACCACAGCACACCCAACUUAUGCAUUUUUAUAAAGGUAAGUGUAACCCGCAGUUAGUCAAUUAAGACUUUUAUUUUUGCGGGCCCACUUCCUGUUUUCCCCAAACUCCUCAACUUAUUUAAGCCCCGCCUCCAGCCAGGUUAAACAACAUCACCUGUUCCGCUGUGAUUGUGGCUGGCUGUUGGCGCUCUGCUGAACAUUUUCACCCUGGAAAUUAACCCAAUUCUCUGCAUCUACUCAUUUGAUCUCUUGAACUGUUGCCGUUUGUACCUGGGCCGUCACCAAGCUUGCAGUUUGGUACGCCCCACUCUCUGCAAAGGUCGGGUUUUUUUUUAUAUGAUGGAUUAGAUACUCUUCUG